rnacentral:sRNA from 2 species
ACUCAACGUUAAUUCUUUAAAAAGGGUGAGUUUAAGUUGUAAAAGCAUGCUGCUAGUGCUGAAUUUAUUUUCAGUAUCUCGAGCAGACACUUGAUCAGCUUGUUAGCCCUAAACUUGUUUUUAAGGAGUUU